UACGUAGGGAGCAAGCGUUGUCCGGAAUCAUUGGGCGUAAAGCGCGCGUAGGCGGCCCUGUAAGUCCGCUGUGAAAGUCAAAGGCUCAACCUUUGAAUGCCGGUGGAUACUGCAGGGCUAGAGUCCGGAAGAGGCAAGUGGAAUUCCUGGUGUAGCGGUGGAAUGCGCAGAUAUCAGGAGGAACACCAACGGCGAAGGCAGCUUGCUGGGACGGUACUGACGCUAAGGCGCGAAAGCGUGGGGAGCGAACGAGG
rnacentral:rRNA from 1 species